rnacentral:lncRNA from 1 species
UGAUGUAGUGUCCCCUAGUUCACAUAAAUUAUAAGCCGGGUCCGAUACCAUUUUGUAAUAAUCUAUGAUCUUAUUCAAAAAAGCUAGUUGGAAGAUAUUAUUUAAGUUCUUGAUCAUGUAUAAGUAUCCAAAUCUAUCCGGUAAAUAACCGAUGUGGAACUAAACACACGCCAACACGGAUCCUCAUACUACCAUAUGAGAAUUGAGAUGAAGAUCUAAUCUAAGAGGAUCUUCCUCGUGAUCCAUGAACUUUCACAUUUUUCAAUAGGAUAGGGUCAAAUUUAUAUAAAUUAGCCUGGCCAAAUCUUUGGAUCAGUAUAUGCUGCGUUAGCUUGACAAGAGCACCUAAUUUAGGUCCUGUUUGGAUGCACUGUGUUUCCAUAGUAUGUUAUAGGAAUUGGACGAUUCAGAGGAAUUUUCAACCAAAAAGGAAUGCCUUUCUUACAGGAUAAAUGGAUGAUUGCACGAAAAAUAAAAGAUAUACUAAUUUUUAUUUUUUUUGCUCCCACAGUUUGCAUGACAGGCCACUUGCACCCCUAUCUUAACAC